AAGUUUGGAGGUGUGUAGUGAUGAUGAACUCUGAAGCUACAUGAAGUUUGGAGGUGUGUAGUGAUGAUGAACUCUGAAGCUACAUGAAGUUUGGAGGUGUGUAGUGAUGAUGAACUCUGAAGCUACAUGAAGUUUGGAGGUGUGUAGUGAUGAACUCUGAAGCCACAUGCAGUUUGGAGGUGUGUAGUGAUGAACUCUGAAGCUACAUGAAGUUUGGAGGUGUGUAGCGAUGAACUCUGAAGCUAUGUGAAGUUUGGAGGUGUGUAGUGAUGAACUCUGAAGCUACAUGAAGUUUGGAGGUGUGUAGUGAUGAACUCUGAAGCUACAUGAAGUUUGGAGGUGUGUAGUGAUGAACUCUGAAGCUACAUAAAGUUUGGAGGUGUGUAGUGAUGAUGAACUCUGAAGCUACAUGAAGUUUGGAGGUGUGUAGUGAUGAUGAACUCUGAAGCUACAUGAAGUUUGGAGGUGUGUAGUGAUGAUGAACUCUGAAGCUACAUGAAGUUUGGAGGUGUGUAGUGAUGAUGAACUCUGAAGCUACAUGAAGUUUGGAGGUGUGUAGUGAUGAACUCUGAAGCUACAUGAAGUUUGGAGGUGUGUAGUGAUGAACUCUGAAGCUACAUGAAGUUUGGAGGUGUGUAGUGAUGAACUCUGAAGCUACAUGAAGUUUGGAGGUGCGUAGUGAUUCUGUAGUGACUCUGCAGAAAGUUGGUGAACUCUGUGCACUAUGCUCCUCUGCGUCCG